rnacentral:lncRNA from 1 species
GUGCAACAAGGCAUAUGCUAAUUACAGAAUCAAGACUUUUCAUGCUUAAUCCAUGGUAGUACAUGGACCUUAUAUGAAAUGGAAAAGAAUCUUGCUCAAGAUGCUUCGCAUCCCAUAUUCAAGGACUUAAAAUUUCAAGUGUUUUGAGCUUUUAAAGGAGUUUAUAAAAGGCAUGCUGUAAAUGACAUUGAUAUGAUAUAGGAUCCAAAAACAAGAUUACAUCAACCAUCCAAGAUGGUAUUUUUAUAGCUAAUUGGCCUGCCAAGGAUCCUGCUUAGAAGAUGGCUGGAUGAUGUAUGCCACAGUCACAAGUUUGACAUUUGAGAAAAGGUUAGGGCGGAGCAGAGAUUUGGAAUUGAAGAAGAAAAGAAUAUACAGAUAGAAGUGAUCAAAAGCACAACUUGAAUUUGAAUAUACAAUUAUUAAAAGAUAGAAAUAGAGAAUGCAAGAGUUUGACAUUGAUAUUUUUAUUCAUUUCACAAAAUGUAUGAGAAGUGGAAACAAAUA